CAAAUUAUAGCAAAAAUGUGUUAGAUGCCCUAACAGAAACUACAUUUACGUGUUCAACGAAUGUUCCUUCUACAUCUACUAUUUGUGUUACAUCUUCUGCGGCUUCUAUGACUGAUUUCCAGGUGUUCAACCUUCUGCUGGUAAAUUUAUGAUUUAAAAA
rnacentral:lncRNA from 1 species